GACGAACGCUGGCGGCGUGCUUAACACAUGCAAGUCGAACGGAAAGGCCCUGCUUUUGUGGGGUGCUCGAGUGGCGAACGGGUGAGUAACACGUGAGUAGCCUGCCCUUGACUUUGGGAUAACUUCAGGAAACUGGGGCUAAUACCGGAUAGGAGCUCCUGCUGCAUGGUGGGGGUUGGAAAGUUUCGGCGGUUGGGGAUGGACUCGCGGCUUAUCAGCUUGUUGGUGGGGUAGUGGCUUACCAAGGCUUUGACGGGUAGCCGGCCUGAGAGGGUGACCGGCCACAUUGGGACUGAGAUACGGCCCAGACUCCUACGGGAGGCAGCAGUGGGGAAUAUUGCACAAUGGGCGGAAGCCUGAUGCAGCAACGCCGCGUGCGGGAUGACGGCCUUCGGGUUGUGAACCGCUUUCGCCUGUGACGAAGCGUGAGUGACGGUAAUGGGUAAAGAAGCACCGGCUAACUACGUG
rnacentral:rRNA from 1 species